ensembl:lncRNA
CGGAAUGCCUGUUGCUUCUCUCUCUGCCCUCCGCCAUGUGAGGACACAACAAGAAGUCAGCAGUCUGCAAUCCAGAAGAAGACCCUCUCCAGAACCUGACCAUAGGGGUACCCUGCUGUUCUAGCCUCAGAAUUGUGAGAGAAUAAUUCCCAUUGUUUAUAAGCCACCCAGUCGAUGGCAUUUUGUUAUAGCAGCUUGAACCGACUAAGACAAAUAGGAAGAAUGAAACACACCUCCCCCUGAAAAGUCCACAUCGUAAUUCCAGGGAACUCUGAAUACAUUACCUUACAUGGCGGAAGGGACUUGGCAAACGUGAUGAAGGACUUUGAGACUGAGAUAUCAUUGGGAUUAUCCAGGACCCACUUCCAGUACUGAUCAGGAGUCCUGGCUUGAGUGGAAGCUGUAUUUAUCUCAGUUCUGGUAGGGAGAGUACUCCAGAGCCCUGGAGAAGCCCUUCUCUGCUCCAGAUUCCCAGGGUAGACUGUGUGGCCCCAAGGAUCCUGGAUUCACCUGUGAGAGGACCAGCCAGCAGCCAAGACCAUCAGUCCUGCUCCUGGUCCCCGUUUCAGACUCCUAGAAGAUAGAAUCUGAUCCCUUCAGCUUAAGUCUGCCUUCUACUCAUCAGCUCUGAGUGGUCCACGUCGGGACGCCUUACCAGGUGUAUAGCCAUUCCUGUUUUACAGCUUAGCAAGCUGAGGAUCAGAAUGGGCUUGGUUUCCCGUUGGCACGUAGGAUGGGGAGCUCCCUCCCAGAACCCAGCUUUUCCUCCACUCCUCCAAAGGGACUCUUGCUGCUUCCAUCACCCUUGACUACUCUGGGGACAGAACCCCAGAUAAAGCUAAUCUGAACCUGAGGCUGUGUGUGUAAACCUCAUUUCUGAUUCCUAUGAGAAUCCACAUUAGAGGGAUGGGGAUUUCAGUAUGGACAAUAUGGACUUUAA